CGUGUCAAGAAUCUGAAGCUAAUACUGAACCCUCUCACCUAAUACUACGCUCCAAACUCGCGCUUCCUGUCGGGACCACACGUGUGCCGGUACCACACGAGGCUUAACCGUACACAAAUUAAGUCAAUUUUCCGGCAAAUCAAAUAAUUCAACCAGCAUGAAAUAUAAUAAACAAACAAUUUACAUAAUAAAUUUUAAUUAUCAAUUUAGAAAAAGGAGGAUUACAUUGACAACAACCAGCUAGAAACUCUAAUAAAGAAUUUCUUGGGGUCGCAAAAAGAUCAGAUAUUUGAUUGUUCGGGUAAGUAACCGCCGGCAACUUAAACUGUCUAAAAACAACAUUAAAUACUCCUUUUCCAUGUUUUAGUUUGUCUAAGAUAUUAUAAACAGACUACAAUUAGAAACUGGCGACAAGAAAAAACAUGGGUGAUAAUUCCGUCCGAUCGCCGUCAAUUGAAUUCCGGCGGCGGUGGACCAUUCAGGUCGAGGUUAAACCCUUUUCCGUUCGGCUUCAGGUCGACAAUGGACGACGAGUCGGAAUCGCUCUGGAUCCCACCGCUGUCCAUGGCAGGUGCCGCCUCCAUCGCUGUCACAACGCCCCCGUAGACCGGAAAU
rnacentral:lncRNA from 1 species